rnacentral:rRNA from 1 species
GCGGCGGACGGGUGAGUAAUGCCUAGGAAUCUGCCUGGUAGUGGGGGACAACGUUUCCAAAGGAACGCUAAUACCGCAUACGUCCUACGGGAGAAAGUGGGGGAUCUUCAGACCUCACGCUAUCCGAUGAGCCUAGGUCGGAUUAGCUAGUUGGUGAGGUAAAGGCUCACCAAGGCGACGAUCCGUAACUGGUCUGAGAGGAUGAUCAGUCACACUGGAACUGAGACACGGUCCAGACUCCUACGGGAGGCAGCAGUGGGGAAUAUUGGACAAUGGGCGAAAGCCUGAUCCAGCCAUGCCGCGUGUGUGAAGAAGGUCUUCUGAUUGUAAAGCACUUUUCGUUGGGAGGAAGGGCAGUAAGUUAAUACCUUGCUGUUUUGACGUUACCAACUUAAUAAGCACCGGCUAACUUCGUGCCAGCAGCCGCGGUAAUACGAAGGGUGCAAGCGUUAAUCGGAAUUACUGGGCGUAAAGCGCGCGUAGGUGGUUCGUUAAGUUGGAUGUGAAAGCCCCGAGCUCAACCUGGGAACUGCAUCCAAAACUGGCGAGCUAAAGUAUGGCAAAUGGUGGUGGAAUUUCCUGUGUAGCGUUGAAAUGCGUACAUAUAGGAAGGAACACCAUUGGCGAAGGCGACCACCUGGGCUAAUACUGACGCUGAGGUGCUAAAGCGUGGGGAGCAAACAGGAUUAGAUACCCUGGUAUUCCACCCCUGAAACGAUG